rnacentral:rRNA from 1 species
UGGGGAAUAUUGGGCAAUGGAGGGAACUCUGACCCAGCAACGCCGCGUGAAGGAAGAAGGUUUUCGGAUUGUAAACUUCUGUCGCAGGGGACGAAGAAUGACGGUACCCUGUAAGAAAGCCCCGGCUAACUACGUGCCAGCAGCCGCGGUAAUACGUAGGGGGCAAGCGUUGUCCGGAAUGACUGGGCGUAAAGGGAGUGUAGGUGGCACAGCAAGUUAUAUGUGAAAAGCCGAGGCUUAACUUCGGACGUGCAUAUAAAACUGUUGAGCUGGAGUGCAGGAGAGGUAAGCGGAAUUCCUAGUGUAGCGGUGGAAUGCGUAGAUAUUAGGAGGAACACCAGAGGCGAAGGCGGCUUACUGGACUGUAACUGACACUGAGGCUCGAAAGCGUGGGGAGCAA